rnacentral:rRNA from 1 species
UACGAAGGGGGCUAGCGUUGUUCGGAAUCACUGGGCGUAAAGGGCGCGUAGGCGGCCGAUCAAGUCGGGGGUGAAAGCCUGUGGCUUAACCACAGAAUGGCCUUCGAUACUGUUUGGCUUGAGACCGGAAGAGGUUAGUGGAACUGCGAGUGUAGAGGUGAAAUUCGUAGAUAUUCGCAAGAACACCAGUGGCGAAGGCGGCUGACUGGUCCGGUUCUGACGCUGAGGUGCGAAAGCGUGGGGAGCAAACAGG